GACGAACGCUGGCGGCGUGCUUAACACAUGCAAGUCGAACGGAAAGGCCCUGCUUGUGUGGGGUGCUCGAGUGGCGAACGGGUGAGUAACACGUGAGUAACCUGCCCUUGACUUUGGGAUAACUUCAGGAAACUGGGGCUAAUACCGGAUAGGAGCUCCUGCUGCAUGGUGGGGUUUGGAAAGUUUCGGCGGUUGGGGAUGGACUCGCGGCUUAUCAGCUUGUUGGUGGGGUAGUGGCUUACCAAGGCUUUGACGGGUAGCCGGCCUGAGAGGGUGACCGGCCACAUUGGGACUGAGAUACGGCCCAGACUCCUACGGGAGGCAGCAGUGGGGAAUAUUGCACAAUGGGCGGAAGCCUGAUGCAGCAACGCCGCGUGCGGGAUGACGGCCUUCGGGUUGUAAACCGCUUUCGCCUGUGACGAAGCGUGAGUGACGGUAAUGGGUAAAGAAGCACCGGCUAACUACGUG
rnacentral:rRNA from 1 species